rnacentral:rRNA from 1 species
AUACGUAGGUGGCAAGCGUUAUCCGGAAUUAUUGGGCGUAAAGAGUGAGCAGGCGGUUAAUUAAGUCUGAGGUUAAAGCGUGGGGCUCAACCCCAUAAAGCCUCGGAAACUGAUUGACUAGAGUACGGGAGAAGGGAAGGGAAAUCCAUGUGUAGCGGUGAAAUGCGUAGAUAUAUGGAAGAACACCAGUGGCGAAGGCGCUUCACUAGCCAGAAACUGACGCUCAGUCACGAAAGCGUGGGUAGCAAAUAGGAUUAGAUACCCUAGUAGUCCACGCUGUAAACGAUGACAACUAAAUAUUGCCGCGAGGCAGUGUUGAAGCUAACGCAUUAAGUUGUCCGCCUGGGGAGUACGGUCGCAAGACUGAUACUUAAAGGAAUUGGCGGGG